GCACGUGUCUCUCUCUAUGACUGUGUGCGGGAAGAGAUGACGGGGUUCUUCGGUUGCUGCGGGGUGCGGCCUGGCACGUGCUGGACUGAGAUCCGGCCUAUCUCCGGAAGAAGGACACGCUACCGGCCCGGCUACAUGGCUGGUGACGCUGCAAUAGCACCGCGGCCGGGCUGAUGCUGAACGUGUGCUGCGUGUUACGGUGUGCGGCUGUUGGCAUCGUGCUCUUCCCUGUAUGAUGAGCAUGUCGCCUCCCCUGCUGGGACAAUGGAUGACUGAUGCAGCCUGUGACUUUCUGAAUGGAGUCAAAGCAUCGGAUGGAAGACCUGACACAGCUCAAUGUGAUGUCGGAGGAGUAGCAAUGUAUGUAAAAGAAAACUGCAUAAAUACUACAGAAAUAAAAAAAAUGAUGAAACAGGUCCUUUGGAAGACUAUAGAAACUGGGGCAAGGAUAGAAUUUGCACUGUGGUAUCUACAGACCACCAGGACAGGGAGAGGAACUGGACAGAUUGUUCAUGUCCGUUGAAGAAAAUGGCUCAGUCAACAAGCGGUGUCCUGUUUCAUAAAUGGUUAUACUUUUAUCAAACGUGCUAUGUCAUUGAGAAUUGGUCAAUCGUUUAGACUUAUAAAACAAAUUGCACAAGAACAGCUUUGUGACCGUAGUCCUGUUGGAGAAGCCUCUGAAUCUAGAUAGCGGAGUCCUGGUUUAGAGUCCAGUAGAGGAAGCAGCCUUGACAGAAGUCUCGAUAGUACAUUGUAGUAUCAGAAUACCCAAAUAUUGGCAACACUUGUUACAACCUGGUCAUAUGUUAGCAGAAUGCCUCUGCCUAAUGUCAUGGGGGGGAACUUGCUUUGACACAAUCAUUAUCCUUUAAAAGAAAUUUUAAUAUUUUAGCAGCUCCGCAAUCUUACCAGUCUGAGUAGAACACAUGGACUGGGAGCUACUGCAAAUAUUCAUAUUUAUACUUCUGCUCAUUGAGCUUUUGGUUUAUAAAUGAUAAGCAUCCAUGCAGUACUAAUUGUGGGUAAUGAAGGACUGUUGCCAUCUGUGUAAAACUGAUGCAUAAAGGGCUGUUAUAAUUUCCCCAAUUGGGAACAUAUAUUUUUCUAUUUAAUAAAGAACUUGUUGGUUACAGCA